rnacentral:rRNA from 1 species
GGGAAUAUUGCGCAAUGGGCGAAAGCCUGACGCAGCGACGCCGCGUGGGGGAUGAAGGCCUUCGGGUUGUAAACCCCUUUCGGCAGGGACGAAGCGAAAGUGACGGUACCUGCAGAAGAAGCGCCGGCUAACUACGUGCCAGCAGCCGCGGUAACACGUAGGGCGCAAGCGUUGUCCGGAAUCAUUGGGCGUAAAGAGCUCGUAGGUGGGUUGUCACGUCUGCUGUGAAAACUCGGGGCUUAACCCCGAGCUUGCAGUGGAUACGGGCAGACUAGAGGUAGGUAGGGGAGAAUGGAAUUCCCGGUGUAGCGGUGAAAUGCGCAGAUAUCGGGAGGAACACCGGUGGCGAAGGCGGUUCUCUGGGCCUUACCUGACACUGAGGAGCGAAAGCGUGGGGAGCGAAC